CCGGUCGGGGCGUUGUGAUUGCUCCGCCUCGAAGCGGUAACGUUUGGGCACGGAGCCGGGGGCGAGCUAUCGGUGGCAAUGGCACGCACCACACCAAUGAUCGGCUCGGCUUGCAGCGAGUUGGGAGCGACCGCGUCAUCAACUCGUCACGCUCCACAGUUGGAACGUACGAGAGCUAUCAAUGCAUAUGGCAAUGGCGCACCGCCAAUGACUCGGCCUGUAGCGUGUAGGGAGCGAAGCAGCUCUGGCCGCGUUAUCAUGCUUCGCCGGGCGAGCUAUCGAUAAGGCAAUAACACCACCAAAUGAUCGGCUCGGCGUGUCAUGUAGCGAUCGAGUACGGGAGCGAAAGCAGCACUGCUCUGCUGCGACCGUACGUUUCAGUACAAUUCACAUGUCCAGGGUACGUGUCGUCGGUGUCGAUUCCCCAGCGAGCUGUAGCCGGCCGGCCUCCACAGUCCACCAACAACUGAAGAAGCCAUGAUACUCAAGCCUUCGAGAAGGGAGCCACAACUACCCCUAGUAGUCGGGACGAUCUGUCGCGCCGCCGCCGUGCUUCAGUGACUCAGAAGGUCGGGUCUU
rnacentral:lncRNA from 1 species